CGCCACCAACAAUCCCUCCGCCA
rnacentral:siRNA from 1 species